UACGAAGGUCCCAAGCGUUAUCCGGAUUUAUUGGGUUUAAAGGGUGCGUAGGCGGGUUAUUAAGUCAGUGGUGAAAGCUCCAUGCCUAACAUGGAAAUUGCCAUUGAUACUGAUGAUCUUGAGUACAUUUUGAAGUGGGCGGAAUGUGUCAUGUAGUGGUGAAAUACUUAGAUAUGACACAGAACACCGAUUGCGUAGGCAGCUCGCUAAACUGUAACUGACGCUGAGGCACGAAAGCGUGGGGAGCAAACAGGG
rnacentral:rRNA from 1 species